ACUGCUCAGUAACACGUGGACAACCUACCCUGAGGAGGGGGAUAACCCCGGGAAACUGGGGAUAAUACCCCAUAGACUAUGGAUGCUGGAAUGCUCUGUAGUUAAAAGGCCCGCCGCCUCAGGAUGGGUCUGCGGCCGAUUAGGUUGUUGUUGGGGUAACGGCCCAACAAGCCUGUAAUCGGUACGGGUUGUGGGAGCAAGAGCCCGGAGAUGGAUUCUGAGACACGAAUCCAGGCCCUACGGGGCGCAGCAGGCGCGAAAACUUUACAAUGCGAGCAAUCGUGAUAAGGGAACUCCGAGUGCCCGUAAAAUCGGGCUGUCCGCCAGUGUAAAUAACUGGUGAAGAAAGGGCCGGGCAAGACCGGUGCCAGCCGCCGCGGUAAUACCGGCGGCUCGAGUGGUGGCCACUAUUACUGGGCUUAAAGCGUUCGUAGCUGGUCUGUUAAGUCUCUGGGGAAAUCUUCCGGCUUAACCGGAAGGCGUCUCAGGGAUACUGACAGACUAGGGACCGGAAGAGGUGAGAGGUACUCCAGGGGUAGGAGUGAAAUCCUGUAAUCCUUGGGGGACCACCUGUGGCGAAGGCGUCUCACCAGGACGGCUCCGACAGUGAGGAACGAAAGCUGGGGGAGCAAACCGGAUUAGAUACCCGGGUAGUCCCAGCUGUAAACGAUGCGCGUUAGGUGUAUCGGUGACCACGAGUCACCGAGGUGCCGAAGAGAAAUCGUGAAACGCGCCGCCUGGGAAGUACGGUCGCAAGGCUGAAACUUAAAGGAAUUGGCGGGGGAGCAC
rnacentral:rRNA from 1 species